rnacentral:lncRNA from 1 species
GUCAGCCCCACUGAAUUUCAAUGCUGUCUAUAAUUAAUAAUGAUGUUAUGAAAAUUAAUGCUUUUCCAUAAUCCAUUAUGACAUCAUCAGUAUAAUGAUCUGUUUAUUGCUUCUUUGCUGAUGGCAGUUAAAAGGAGCCACAUUUCCAAGAGGAGAAAAAGCAUGAAUCAUUUUCAAACCAGUAGAAUCCUUUCCAUCUAGAGAAUAUUUGAUUCUGUAAUCACACACCAAACAUGGUAUAAAAAGUAAUCAGUAUUCCAAAAUUCCAAGGCACACUCAGGCAGCUAACAUGAAAUAAUUGAUCAUUACAAUAAAGCAACAUUGGCUAAGUGAAUCUUCCUAAAUGGUUCUUCCAUUGAGACAUAAUUUCUAACACUUAAAAAUCUCGUUUGAAGAACUUAAAGUGGGAAACUGGGAAAGAAAAAAAUAAGUUAGUAAAGAUGAUUGGUUUUGUGUAUAUUAAUUACUUAAUACCCAUUUAACCCACAAAAAAUAAAAUGCAACACCCUCCUUGACUGUAUCUGAAACCAGAACUCCAGACAUCAAAGUUACACAGCUAACAAGAGGAGAAGACUGAACCUCUUCAAGGGUCAGACAUGUAGUAAACAGCUCGGAAACACUUGCUGAAGAAGUCAGAAUGUUAGAGACAGAGGCUUAAAAAUACCGAUACACAGCACCCACCCAAGACCUACCGCAAGAGAAUAGCCUUGGUAACGUAUUCAUCUUUAUUAGUUCCAUAGAUUAUAUUAUUAUUAUAUGAUUCAAAUAUGAAUAAUUGGUAAUCUUAUUCAAGCAGUGCCAAGAACCAUGGUUUCAAGGGCAUGUCAUCCUGAACAGGCAAUUUCUUUUUCUGAUUUUAGAAGCCAAAUGACAUGCACCUUGUUUCAUAAGCAUCAGGAUUACAGCGGAAAGAAUAAGGAAAACGAUGGGUCCCUUUCCUCCCUUUCCACAAGGCCUUACAUCUGACAGUGAGGACAACAAAUCUUACGCAGCUGGAUUUUUCACAGCUAUUUGGUAACAAGUGACAGAACACCAACUCAGACUCAGGAAAGCAAAAAGAGC